GGUUGCAAAGCAGUGGUGGUGAUUAUUGUGGCCUUUACCGGCAUGCUCCAAGGAGAAGCUGAGAUAACAAAACCAUGUCCCUCCAGAUUUGAGUCAUCAAGAGGCAUGAGGGAGAAGGUUGGUACCUCAGGACGUCAAGGAAAGUUGUCAGUGUUGCCGAAGACGGCACUGAACAGGAAUGGCAUCGGAAUCAGAGGACAUUAAUACUGAGAGGAGCACAAAAGGAAACCAUGAGAAGGUGCAGAGCAAGAAGAGCAGGAAGAUGGUCAAAAAGAGGAUCAGUGAAUCCACAUGUCUGGACACAAGUGGGGAAUUCACCGCACAAACAGGAAGUACCACCUCGUUUUACAAGGAAAGGAAAGCAGCGUAGACCGCAGUAUUGUUCAAGUACACAGGAACUGAGUGAUGUCAGUUUUCUGUCAUGUCACGGUGAUCCUCUCUAGGAAUUCCAUUUGGACGGAAAAUGCCUCGCUAGCAUCCAGCCCCACCCAACUCCUCUCAGCUUGGAGACGUCUGCCUGCCUCGU